CGUGGCCGGAAGAGCCGCAGCCCCGCCCACCCGCGCGGGAGGUUUGUUCUAAGCUGUGGGAGCCGGGCGAGAGCUGCUUGAGAGCCAGGUUGCAAGGUGUUUGGCUGCGGAUGUGAUGCAGGAAAGCCAACUGGGACCCAUGGGUGUGAUUCUUCAUCUAUCAUGCUGGCUAGAACUUUGGAGGAAAGAAAAUCUUCUCCAGUCAUCCUUCUCAGAUCUGAGAGCAAGAGGCUUGGAGGUGCUGCAGCCAUUUUGUGACCAUGAGGGAAGAGCCAACAAAGUACCAGGUAAGCCAACCCAGAAUCCUGACAUUUCUGAGCCGCUGUCUUAACCACCUCUGAAACCUACUUCAAAGAAUCUUGAUAAGUGAGUUACUAAAAUAUCCUUAAUGUUCAAGCCAAUUUAAUUCUCGUAUUUUGUUACUUGAAGCAGAACUCCUCCUAAAUGACAAAUUCCUGUGAAAAGAACAAAUCACAUUUGUUCCUGUCAGCAACAGACUGAAAGUAUACAACUGCUUAUUCUCAUUAACACUAGAGACUGAAUUAAUCUUGAGACUGGUAUAAUUUAUCAUUUUUCUUUUGGAAAGUCAGUGCCAGUAACAUGGCUUAGAACUUCUAGGUACUUUAGACCAUGGUGACUAUGUUAAAGAUAUAUUAAAAAUGGUUUUCCCAAGCUUUGAACUUUAUGCUCUAAAAUAUUAGAGAAUAUGUACAGAAAGCUCAGAAGAGCUGAGCAAAUGAUUUAGAAAAUAAAAUGUCGGGAAUUGAAAGCUAUACAAUAUGUAAGGGGGCAUAGUCUGCUAGGCUAGGGGUCAUUUUCUACUACUGAAUUGUGUGAAGGACUCCCACUGAAGCCAAUCAGAGUCAUAUGCAAAAAUAGAUGUCAGGACCUUUCCCUGAAACUAAGGAAAGCUGAAAAAUCUGAACUAUUUCUUGAUAAAUGUGUGAGAAUGUACCAGCUUUUGAGGAGGUCAGGUGUUUGAUGGAAAUGUGUGUGCUUGAAACUCUACAACCCUAUUGCUGGAUAAAUUAAAAAGAAUCCCAUUCACUGUCUCUCUUUAAAUUUGAAAUGAUAUUUUUUUUUCCAAAAAAAGCCCUCAGAAAUUCUUCAGUUAUUAGUUUUCCCAGACAGUUAAGUAUAUCAAUGAUGAAUACUCACUUACUGAAUAAAUGGAAUAGCAUUCGAUUUGUUUUUUUUUUCCAAUAAUCUUAGAGAGAAUUCCUUUCCUUUUAGACCUAAACUUAGCCUUUAGGUCAGAGGUUAACUUCUGUGUGCUCUUGUUUCUGGAUAGGAGGUAUUAGUUUAAUAUGCACUUGCACCAACUAUUUCACUUUGAGUCUCCUUGACUGUUAGAAAGGGGGGAGAAGAGGACAAGAUGGUGGAGGAGUAGGGGGACACGCUCACCCUCUCCCACAAACACAACAAAAAGAGCACAUCUACAGAAUAAAUGACUCCCACAGAACAGCAACC